rnacentral:lncRNA from 1 species
GACAGGAUAUAGAAUACAAUAUCACUGACAGGAAAUAGAAUACUCUACCUGGACAACAUCACUGACAGGAUAUAGAAUACUCUACCUGGAUAACAUCACUGACAGGAUAUAGAAUACUCUACCUGGACAACAUCACUGACAGGAUAUAGAAUACUCUACCUGGAUAACAUCCCUGACAGGAUAUAGAAUACUCCACCUGGAUAACAUCACUGACAGGAUAUAGAAUACUCUACCUGGAUAACAUCACUGACAGGAUAUAGAAUACUCUACCUGGAUAACAUCACUGACAGGAUAUAGAAUACAACAUCACUGACAGGAUAUAGAAUACUCUACCUGGAUAACAUCCCUGACAGGAUAUAGAAUACACAAUGCAUCUGACACAGAUUUAACUACGUGGACAACAUUACUGACAGAGAUUUAAACCAGGUGGACAACACUGUGUCUGAUAUGGACAGGAGAAAGCAGCACUGCUCUGAUGACCUGCAGAGAGGACAGGAGACAAAGAGACAGAUGUACAGAAGACGUUACUUGAAUCGUCUUCCACAUACACGUGAAUAAUGUAUAGUCAUUUGUAAACCCACUGAUCUUGGUGCCCUUUGCUUAAUGUAUUCAACAUGACCCCGGGACAACUUACUCCUUCUAAGGCUGAGAAACAGGUGUGUGAAAAUAUAUGACAGAUAAUGACAACAAUACGACGGGGGGUUUUCUGUAUGCAGACAUUGAAUAAUAUCAUGUUCUGUAUAGAUAUGACAACAAUACGACGGGGGUUUUCUGUAUGCAGACAUUGAAUAAUAUAAUGUUCUGUAUAGAUAUGACAACAAUACGACGGGGGUUUUCUGUAUGCAGACAUUGAAUAAUAUCAUGUUCUGUAUAGAUAUGACAACAAUACGACGGGGGUUUUCUGUAUGCAGAUAUUGAAUAAUAUCAUGUUCUGUAUAGAUAUGACAACAAUACGACGGGGGGUUUUCUGUAUGCAGACAUUGAAUAAUAUCGUGUUCUGUAUAGAUAUGACAACAAUACGACGGGGGUUUUCUGUAUGCAGACAUUGAAUAAUAUCGUGUUCUGUAUAGAUAUGACAACAAUACGACGGGGGGUUUUCUGUAUGCAGACAUUGAAUAAUAUCAUGUUCUGUAUAGAUAUGACAACAAUACGACGGGGGUUUUCUGUAUGCAGACAUUGAAUAAUAUCAUGUUCUGUAUAGAUAUGACAACAAUACGACGGGGGGUUUUCUGUAUGCAGACAUUGAAUAAUAUAAUGUUCUGUAUAGAUAUGACAACAAUACGACGGGGGUUUUCUGUAUGCAGACAUUGAAUAAUAUAAUGUUCUGUAUAGAUAUGACAACAAUACGACGGGGGUUUUCUGUAUGCAGACAUUGAAUAAUAUCAUGUUCUAUACCAAAACAUAUUCUUGAAAACAAGUACAGCAUGUAAACCAGAAAUAAAGGCAGAUCAUAGUUUUAAUUCUGUGUCAACAAACUGUUCUAAAAAUAUGUAUCUUGUUCUUCUCGGCUCUGUUGGCUGGUGGAGUUGCUUCAUUGUUAAAUCUAUAUUUUUUUUAAAGGUAUGAUAAAUAUAUAUAUAUAUGUUUUAUAUGAAAAAGGGAUUGGUUUAAAACUGGAGAUUUUAUUUGAUAGAUUUAUAACAUUCAAUUAUGUUUGUUUUUUUUUACAUUUCUUUUAUGUUGAUAAAAUGUUUUGCCUUGAUGAGAACAUGGCAGGCAGGUAGAGGGUGACUAAAAACAAAAUGGCUUCCUUUCAAAACAAUCCCGUUCCGUGUUCACGUGCUAAUCGGAACUUGGACAUUUCAGACAUGCUAACUGGUUGUGGUUACACACGCGCCCGCGUUCAACCAGUUAGAAAGUCUGAAUUUCCUAGUUCCGACUAGCAAGUGAACACGGCGUUAAACCCCCCCAUUUUCCGCGCAGGGAUAUGACAUCAUCAGUAUGAAUCUGCUGCAGGUGUUUUGACGAAUGUUUAUAUGUUGUUGUUUAAAAUAAAUUUUUUUUUUUUUUAUCAUUU